CCUACGGGAGGCAGCAGUAAGGAAUAUUGGUCAAUGGACGCAAGUCUGAACCAGCCAUGCCGCGUGAAGGAUUAAGGCCCUCUGGGUUGUAAACUUCUUUUAUAGGGGACGAAAAAAGGGCAUUCUUGCUCACUUGACGGUACCCUAGGAAUAAGCACCGGCUAACUCCGUGCCAGCAGCCGCGGUAAUACGGAGGGUGCAAGCGUUAUCCGGAUUUACUGGGUUUAAAGGGUGCGUAGGUGGGUUGGUAAGUCAGUGGUGAAAUCUUCGAGCUUAACUCGGAAACUGCCAUUGAUACUAUCAAUCUUGAAUCAUCUAGAGGUAAGCGGAAUAUGUCAUGUAGCGGUGAAAUGCUUAGAUAUGACAUAGAACACCAAUUGCGAAGGCAGCUUACUAUGGAUGUAUUGACACUGAGGCACGAAAGCGUGGGGAUCAAACAGGAUUAGAUACCCUGGUAGUCCACGCCCUAAACGAUGGAUACUCGACAUUUAGUGAUAUACUAUAAGUGUCUGAGCGAAAGCAUUAAGUAUCCCGCCUGGGAAGUACGACCGCAAGGUUGAAACUUAAAUGAAUUGACGG
rnacentral:rRNA from 1 species